rnacentral:rRNA from 1 species
UACGAAGGGGGCUAGCGUUGUUCGGAAUUACUGGGCGUAAAGCGUUUGUAGGCGGUUGAACAAGUCAGUGGUGAAAGCCCAGGGCUUAACCCUGGAAUUGCCAUUGAAACUGUUCAGCUAGAGAGUGUUAGAGGAAAGUGGAAUUCCUAGUGUAGGAGUGAAAUCCGUAGAGAUUAGGAGGAAUAUCGAUGGCGAAGGCAGCUUCUGGGACAUUUCUGACGCUGAGAAACGAAAGCGUGGGUAGCAAACAGG